GACGAACGCUGGCGGCGUGCUUAACACAUGCAAGUCGAACGGAAAGGCCCCUGCUUGCAGGGGUACUCGAGUGGCGAACGGGUGAGUAACACGUGGGUGAUCUGCCCUUCACUUCGGGAUAAGCCUGGGAAACUGGGUCUAAUACCGGAUAGGACCAAUCUUUAGUGUGGUUGGUGGAAAGUUUUUUCGGUGGAGGAUGAGCCCGCGGCCUAUCAGCUUGUUGGUGGGGUAAUGGCCUACCAAGGCGACGACGGGUAGCCGGCCUGAGAGGGUGGACGGCCACAUUGGGACUGAGACACGGCCCAGACUCCUACGGGAGGCAGCAGUGGGGAAUAUUGCACAAUGGGCGGAAGCCUGAUGCAGCGACGCCGCGUGAGGGAUGACGGCCUUCGGGUUGUAAACCUCUUUCGCUAGGGAAGAAGCCUUCGGGUGACGGUACCUGGAUAAGAAGCACCGGCUAACUACGUGC
rnacentral:rRNA from 1 species